AGAGUUUGAUCCUGGCUCAGGACGAACGCUGGCGGCGCGCCUAACACAUGCAAGUCGAACGGAGCUGAGAGGAGCUUGCUUUUCUUAGCUUAGUGGCGAACGGGUGAGUAACGCGUGAGUAACCUGCCCUGGAGUGGGGGACAACAGUUGGAAACGACUGCUAAUACCGCAUAAGCCCACGGAUCCGCAUGGAUCUGCGGGAAAAGGAUUUAUUCGCUUCAGGAUGGACUCGCGUCCAAUUAGCUAGUUGGUGAGGUAACGGCCCACCAAGGCGACGAUUGGUAGCCGGACUGAGAGGUUGAACGGCCACAUUGGGACUGAGACACGGCCCAGACUCCUACGGGAGGCAGCAGUGGGGGAUAUUGCACAAUGGGGGAAACCCUGAUGCAGCGACGCCGCGUGGAGGAAGAAGGUUUUCGGAUUGUAAACUCCUGUCGUUAGGGACGAUAAUGACGGUACCUAACAAGAAAGCACCGGCUAACUACGUGCCAGCAGCCGCGGUAAAACGUAGGGUGCAAGCGUUGUCCGGAAUUACUGGGUGUAAAGGGAGCGCAGGCGGACCGGCAAGUUGGAAGUGAAAACUAUGGGCUCAACCCAUAAAUUGCUUUCAAAACUGCUGGCCUUGAGUAGUGCAGAGGUAGGUGGAAUUCCCGGUGUAGCGGUGGAAUGCGUAGAUAUCGGGAGGAACACCAGUGGCGAAGGCGACCUACUGGGCACCAACUGACGCUGAGGCUCGAAAGCAUGGGUAGCAAACAGGAUUAGAUACCCUGGUAGUCCAUGCCGUAAACGAUGAUUACUAGGUGUUGGAGGAUUGACCCCUUCAGUGCCGCAGUUAACACAAUAAGUAAUCCACCUGGGGAGUACGACCGCAAGGUUGAAACUCAAAGGAAUUGACGGGGGCCCGCACAAGCAGUGGAGUAUGUGGUUUAAUUCGAAGCAACGCGAAGAACCUUACCAAAUCUUGACAUCCCGGUGACAAAGUAUGUAAAGUACUCUUUCUUCGGAACACCGGUGACAGGUGGUGCAUGGUUGUCGUCAGCUCGUGUCGUGAGAUGUUGGGUUAAGUCCCGCAACGAGCGCAACCCCUAUCCUUAGUAGCCAGCAGUAAGAUGGGCACUCUAGGGAGACUGCCGGGGAUAACCCGGAGGAAGGUGGGGAUGACGUCAAAUCAUCAUGCCCCUUAUGAUUUGGGCUACACACGUGCUACAAUGGCGUAAACAAAGGGAAGCGAGCCUGCGAGGGGGAGCAAAUCCCAAAAAUAACGUCUCAGUUCGGAUUGUAGUCUGCAACUCGACUACAUGAAGCUGGAAUCGCUAGUAAUCGCAGAUCAGAAUGCUGCGGUGAAUACGUUCCCGGGUCUUGUACACACCGCCCGUCACACCAUGGGAGUCGGAAAUGCCCGAAGCCGGUGACCUAACCGCAAGGAAGGAGCCGUCGAAGGCAGGUCUGAUAACUGGGGUGAAGUCGUAACAAGGUA
rnacentral:rRNA from 1 species